GGUGGGAGGAACAGCUGGAUCAUGUGAUGGCUUUAUUUCUAGUUUCUUGAGGAAUCUCUGUACUGCUGUCCAUAGUGGUUGGUUGCACUCGUCUGCACAAACAACAGAUCAUGAACAUUUGAAAUAAAAUCAGAAUUUGUUAAAGGGCAGAUGACAGCCAGCCUUGAGUCCUGAUGAUCCCAGGAUCCCAUCCAGUGGGAGAACUCUAAGUACCAGUCCAAGGUAUCUUUGGAGACUGGGUGUGCAGCUCAGUGGAAGAGCACUUGCCUGGCUUGUGAGAGGCCAUGGAGUCCAUCCCAGAAGAUGUCUUUGACAGGACUCAAGCAUGAGAGGUAUGCUUUAAAAAGAUCAUGUAUUGGGGCUGGGGUUGUGGCUCAGCAGUAGAGCACUCACCUAGCACAUGCGAGGCACUGGGUUCAAU